GUGAGGAAUAUUGCACAAUGGGCGAAAGCCUGAUGCAGCAACGCCGCGUGAGUGAUGAAGGCCUUUGGGUCGUAAAACUCUGUCCUUGGGGAAGAAAAAAAUGACGGUACCCUUGGAGGAAGCCCCGGCUAACUACGUGCCAGCAGCCGCGGUAAUACGUAGGGGGCAAGCGUUAUCCGGAAUUAUUGGGCGUAAAGAGUGCGUAGGUGGUUUGGUAAGCGUAGGGUGAAAGGCAGUAGCUCAACUAUUGUUAGCCCUGCGAACUGUGAGGCUUGAGUGCAGUAGAGGAAAGUGGAAUUCCUAGUGUAGCGGUGAAAUGCGUAGAUAUUAGGAGGAACACCAGUGGCGAAGGCGACUUUCUGGACUGUAACUGACACUGAGGCACGAAAGCGUGGGUAGCAAACAGGAUUAGAUACCCUGGUAGUCC
rnacentral:rRNA from 1 species